UACGGAGGGUGCAAGCGUUGUCCGGAAUCACUGGGCGUAAAGGGCGCGUAGGCGGCUCAUGAAGGCUGUGGUGAAAGUCCGGGGCUCAACCUCGGAUCGGCCGUGGCGACUCGUGGGCUGGAGCACUGUAGAGGCGGGUGGAAUUCCGGGUGUAGCGGUGAAAUUCGUAGAUAUUCGCAAGAACACCAGUGGCGAAGGCGGCUGACUGGUCCGGUUCUGACGCUGAGGCGCGAAAGCGUGGGGAGCAAACAGG
rnacentral:rRNA from 1 species